GUUCCAAUCUCCCCAGACGACCUCGUCGCCAUUCCCCUCCCUCCCGAGAGAAAUCCCCUCACUCUUCCUGUCGCCUCCGCGUGCCAUGGACGACACAUCGUCUCGCCGGCCGCCGUCACCUGAACCCAACCAGCCCUCCGCUCCCGCCCAGAUUCGACCACUAUUCUCAAUUCGCCACGGCAUGCCUCGCGUGGCCAAUCCAUGUCUCCCACCAGCGAUCAGUAGGUGUGCGGCCCCGCCGCCGCUGGCUCUCGUGGUUGCGACGUAUCCUCCCCGGCUCCCUCCUCCUCCUCCUCACCCAAGCCGCACCUCCGUCCACGCGAUGCCGGCCGACGGCUCCCACUUCGACUCCUGAUUAUAGUUGCUGCCUUUUGCAAUGUAUGUGCAAUUCUGAUUGUUUAGUGUGUGCUCUCAGUUCAUCGCCCGCCUCAGCAAUGAGGAUACCUUCGUUCAGCUGAUCGAGGGAGGAUGUUCCGUUCUUGAGUCUAAUUUUUCCUUCCUAUGGGCAAUUUCUUCAAUCGAGGGAGGAUGAAGCCAGAGUGGUGGCAGUUAGAGACCAUCGUUUCCUGUGCUCUGCAGUUUAAAUGAUUUCAGGAAGACUUCAUUUGAUGCCUCGAACUGAAUAUGUUUUUAAUUGGACGGAUGGAUAUUGAAUAAUUGCAUCAUAUUUGGAGGUAGCGAUGUCGUAUGUUUUGGGGUCCAGGUAAUAAUUUAGCUUACUUACCAGAUUACAUUACUUUCAAAAGAUAGCCAUCACGAUAGGAAAUCCCAUCUGUAUUUAUGGAGCUAGCAGAACAUAGUACAUCCAACAUGUCUAGCUCUGAGUCCUUGUCCUCUCAUCCAUGUGGUGUAUGCUUUUAUCCUAAAGUUUCCAUCAACUUUGUUUGUUUAUUUAGAUCAAGUUAGGGUUGUAUAUACAUCUAGAUUUAUAUCACAACAAUGCCCUAUAGGGAGGGAAUUAGCUGCGCAAGGGAAGAAACCUCAAAGGUAAUCUUAAUUCUGGAAUAUUAGGACCAUGAUGGCUGCAUGCGAGCUGCGUCUUGACGAGUAUGAUUUUUCAUUUUUCAUGGUGUUUGCAGAUUUUACUGAAUGUCACGCAGAUUGGUUUGGUACAUGAAAACCUUAAUCACACUCCUUUUAGGACAAAAGUAUAUACAUACUACAUGGUUUUGAUAAAGUAUAUGCCUCUUCCUCUGUGUAGUAUGCCCCAAAUUUCCAUUCUUCAUGUAUAUUGCAGCUUAAAUAAUAUUUAGGUUCUCUCAAAAGUUAUGUACUCCACAUACUUCUCUCUACUACUCCCUCCGUUCCGAAUUACUUGUCUUAGAUUUGUCUAGAUACGGAGGUAUCUAGCACUAAAAUGAGUCUAGAUACAUUCGUAUCUAGACAAAUUCAAGACAAGUAAUUUGGAACAGAGGGAGUAGGUUGGAAAUCUGUUGUGCAUAGCAGGAGAACGAAAUGUCUUUUUAAUUAAUUUUCCUUCAAAAACAUAUGAUAUAGUUAGGAAUAUGUUAGAAUAUUCCAAUAACAUAGAAGAUGUGUACCCCUGCCUUUUCCCUAAACAAAUCACAUGCUCUAUUUGAGUUGGAAACAUCUGUAUAUUCUUUUCUUCAAGUAGAGCCAGGAAUACAUUUUUUAUCAAUAUAUUUUUUAUUAGUACUAAAACUGAGUUUUGAAGAAGAAGAUGGGGAGCUAUUAGCUUAUAUCUGAUGAUGCAAAGUCCAAUUGGUGGCUGGCCCUUCUGUGUCUUAUUAGUCGUUGGAUGUUAGUUCUUAAUUUUCCCCCCUUGAACUAAUGAUUCAUGAAAUGGACGAUGUAGACAAUAUCAUGACUGGUUGGGCGAGGACACAGCCUAGCAACACUAAGGAGAGACUGCCUGCUUCUGCGCUAAGUCGCUGCUGGUCAAGACCUCCGGGCAUGGAUCAAGCAUAAUCCAUGGUUGAUUCUGGUGGUAAAGUUGUGCUCUUCACAUCGUUGUUUAUCAAGUUGGAUACCUCCUCCUACCGUUUUUUCUGUCCAUCGCUUCCCCGCAUGAUUUUUCUGGUUUUCUACUUCUCUUGGUUGACCAUCUCCCCACGUCUUUCCUCCCCCGGGUUUUCUUAUUCAAUUUUCUUCCCUACCGAACCGGUCUGCCUUACACCCCACGAACGAUCGUGCCCAGGCCAUCUAUCCCAUCGCCACGAUUGACGCAUGCCACCGCCGCCGCAACAACCACCCCUCCGAUCUGAAGUGCAGUGCCUCCCUUGUUGCCGCUGCCUCGACGUUCUGCACUUCCUACACCGCCGCAGGUCAUUGCCUGCAGUUCGCCGUCUACUUUUCCCACGAACGCCGGCGAUGGGAAGGAGGAGGAGGUGGGUGAGGAGACGAGGGCAAGCGCAAGAGUUGCAUCGUUUAAGGAACGUGGUACAGGUCAAGAGCCGCUAACAUCGGCGUGGGCGUCGGCCGUAGGUAAGCACUCUUUCCUCUCGCCUAUCUCAUCUCCCUCUCUCGCAGUGACCUUCCUUGUCUCCUCUCUGUCCGCGUCGUGGCAGUAGGGCGCGUGCUGGCCGCCUACGAGUUUAGUAGGGGCUCACGGGAUGGGUAAGGGCAGGCUUGGCAAGGGCUGUUCAUCAGUUCAUGUGUCGCCGAACAUACUGCAAGCGUGUGUGUCAGGCCAGACUUGGAACAGGCAAUGGUGCUUAGGCGAAUGUUGGAAGUGUGGCCGUAGGUACUUCAUAAGUAGCAGGUAGAGAUGCACAGGCAACGGUGGGUAAGGGCGCCAAUGUUCAGGCAGAGGAGAAUAUGAAAGAUGAAGCCACUGGGCCACAUCAGGCAUGUAUAGCCGAUCCAUGGCCAUGCAUAUUUAUGUCGGAAUGGUUCGGCUUGAGCAAUUUGGUACAGUAUAUUUGGAGGGGUUCUUGCCUUAUCUGGAUCUUUUGUUUGAGACGACUGAUUUUGGUUGUUCUCGGCCUUAUAGGUCUACGAUUUUUUUAGUUUCAGUGACGAGUUAAAGCGACAGCGAGGCAUGCUGGUACUAUAAGCUUUAUACCUCUCUUUGUAGACAAGAGCUGACAACUGAUCAACAAACUGAAGGGAAGACUUUAAAACAGAAGGGUGGAGGGAGCCUAUAUGAUUUUACAUGCAUCUUGAUAUGGUAUCAUGUAUACAUGAGAUUCGUCAGUUUUCAUAUGUACAAUUACCUUGUCUACUCUGAGCCUCGUGAGCUCACAACAGUGGAGGGGAGGAGAUGCAAAAGGAGGAUGUUGAGGAGCGAGGCAAAUUAAAAACAAAGGACAGAGAAUCCCUCUUCAUUUGGUGGAUCCUAUGGGUGUGUUCUAGCCACGUCGGCUAGAAUGUGGAUGGAGCACUCAUUGUACUAGCAUGAAUCAGGUAAUUUUCAUAUCACCAUCAUAUCAUUAUACUACAUAUUUCCAGUAUAUUGCUGCAUUAAGGCGUUACUAAAUCUUUGCCAAACGACAUUGGAAAAAAACUUGAAGUUUGAGAAAUAAGAUCUACAUGUAGUGAUAAUAGGAUGGGGAUAUUUAGAAUGUGAUGAAAAACUGCUACAGAGAGAUGUGGGGUGAAGCGGCGAAGAUGAGAGGUUCAGAGACAAUAUGAUGUGCGGACGGGAAUGACAUUGCAUUAUUUAAGCUGACAUGAGCAUGCACUUCUAAAAAUAAGUUGUUUGAUUAUAUAUUUUAUUGCUCCGUGGCAACGCACGGGCAUGCAGCUAGUUAUAGAUAAAGUUAGAGGGACCGUGGUGGGCAUGGAAUCCUCUUCGGUGUAGUGGUCAGCGCGUACUUCCUCAAAUAGCUGGUCGUAGGUUCUACUCUACUUGAGCAGAUUUUUCUAUUUUCAUUUUUUCUUCUGGACUGACAGGCAGAACCCAAUAGUCAUAGAUACAAAUAUAGCAUUCAAAUAAUCAUAUUUCAUCGUUACAAGCAUGGACCCGAAAAUACGAUGCCAUGUCUUGUUUGUAAUUUUACUUCUUGGCCGUUGUUCCUUUGUGCAAAGGCUAGCGUUUUAUUAUUUGUUCAGUUUUA